GACACAGCAAUAUAGCAGAAAUCUGCUAAUGUUAUCACAGACUCAAAACAUAUUUAACGGGACAGAUCAUUGAUAACAGAUAAUGCAUCAAUUUGCAUUCCUACCCUUGAAUCACAGAUCAACUGAGUUAAAAUCCUAAAUCCUAAGGUACAACUUACAACAGAUCUGCCCCUGGAAGAAGCUCUAGGAUAACGCAUGAACUGUAUGGUGAUAUCAAUGUCUAUGUCUGCAAAUAAAAGAGCAGUCCGUUGCACAAAGCAUCUCGCUUUCACGCAUACCGGCAUGAAUAUAAAAAGGGAUACACAUAAGCAACUGGCAACACCAACUUCUUGUUAGCAUCCACAUAAGCAAUGUGCUUGAAAACAAAUACAAAAUUUUAAAUAAGGAAACAUAUGAUCGCAGUUAAGCAUACCAGCCACAACAAUAACCCAAAAAUAAUUUUG
rnacentral:lncRNA from 1 species